UACAGAGGUCCCAAGCGUUGUUCGGAUUCACUGGGCGUAAAGGGUGCGUAGGUGGUCGGGUAAGUCUGAUGUGAAAUCUUCGAGCUCAACUCGAAAAUGGCAUUGGAUACUAUUCGGCUGGAGGGUUGGAAGGGGGACUGGAAUUCUCGGUGUAGCAGUGAAAUGCGUAGAUAUCGAGAGGAACACCGGUGGCGAAGGCGAGUCCCUGGACAAUUCCUGACACUGAAGCUCGAAAGCUAGGGGAGCAAACGGG
rnacentral:rRNA from 1 species